rnacentral:rRNA from 1 species
UGGGGAGCACGAUCGCAAGAGUGGACCUCAAAGGACUUUACAGCAUCCCGCACAAUCGGUCGGAACAUCUGAGUUCAUUCGAUGAUACGCAGAAGUGAACCGUUACCCGGGCGUAAAUGUACGAUGCAUAAGCGUGGAACCAGUUUUUCAGUUCGGGAAUGUGUAUAAGCUGCUUCAUGUCUUGUCGGAUCAGCGUCGUUACACUUGAGCUGAUCGAGCUUAACUCCCCAUAACGAGCGCAACAGCCGUAUUGUUAGUGUACAAGUCGCGUAAAGCCGGGGACUCUAGCCGGGAGAUGGACGGUGUAGACCGCGAGGAAGUCUGGGGUAGGACGUCAAAUCAGGCGCGGCCACUAUAGUGUCCACGGGCGUACACACACUGUUACAAAGGACUGCUACAGACGGGCAAGCGAGUCACCGAUGCCGAGUCGAUCUCUCUGAAAACCGGUCUCAGUACGGAGUUGGAGUCGGCAACCGGAUCUGCUAUGUAAGGUGGAAUCGGUAGUAAUCGCGCAUCUAGCCAUGGCGCGCUGAUACAGCUUCCCGGGCCACGUACACACCACCCGUCAAACCAUGAAUUCUGGGG